ensembl:lncRNA
GCUUUACAUAAUCAUGCCAUUGAUUCCCAUAUAUACUAACAUUACAAUAAUCAGAGUUAGACAUCACCCUAUUUAGAUUGGUCGAUGUUGUCCUAAAUGGAAAUUCCAUUAGAACCUGGACAUUCUAAGUUAAAUAAGUUAGCUGAAGCUAGUACUGAAAAGCCUGUAUGUUCAUUAAUUGUGUGUGUACUGUAUGUCUCUUAAAGGAUCAGAUAUUACAACCUUACAUAACAGAGUGGAGGCAGAUCUGAAUGUAACUGCUUAAUUGCAGUGUGGCUUUGUGUAGGUCAGCAGGGAUGAGUCAUCACAGUAAGAACAAGUGGCAUUACAGUUUUAAAUGAAUAUACUGAGUUUAAACAAGAUUUUAAAAUGGAUGGGCUUACUUGUCUGCUUGAUCCUAUUCCAUCUCAUCUCCUUCAAGCCAUUUCUGUGAGUGCAGCUGUACCUGCACUCACAUCAUUAACACAUCCCUUCACACUGGUCUUUUUCCCUCAGCAUAUAAACAGGCUUGUAUAUAAUCAGAACGAGUUCACUUCUCAAAUGUCAGUUGUUCAGUCGCUAUGCUCUAAACUGGAUCUUCUUACAGGGGAGAUGAGAGAACAAAAGAAAGUUGCAGAAAGAUCACGAUAGACAAGUAACCCCGAUCAAGCAACAGGUAGUGGACUUACAGGAUCGCAAUAGGCAUAGCAAUCUAAGUCUGGUUGAAUUGCCUGAAGGUUCCGAAAAGGACGACCCUAUGGGCUUUUUGAAAAGAUCGCUACCGAUGUGGCUCCCAUCUCUGAUGGGUAUAGAGAUUGAAGUGGAACGAGUGCAUCGUGUGUCCACAAGGCUCUCCUCAGAUCGCGCUAAACCAUGGGUUUUCCUCUUUAAACUGUUGCGGUACACAAACAGGGAGCUCAUUCUGCGGGCCGUCAGACUUCACACCCCAGUGAAAACAUCCGAUGGAGCAACGCUAUCUUUCUUUCCAGAUUUUUUUCUGGUCACCUCAAAAAGAAGCUCAUUUGCGCCUGUUAGGAAAGAAAUGAGAGAGGCUGGCAUCCAGAAUUUCCUUUUUUAUCCUGUAACACUGAAGGUCAUUCUCAAUCAAGGCGAACCUAAAAUGGUAUAUUCCCCAGAAGAAGCAAGAGUUUUUCUAAGAUCC